rfam:Desulfotomaculum acetoxidans DSM 771, complete genome.
UAAUAGGUGAAAAUCCGACCGGGAAAAAAGGCUCCACUCUCGUAGCUUAAGAGGCACCGUGGAGUGAAAAUGAAACGAUAAAGCCCUCUUACAACACACUCAAGGAGUGUGAGCGAAACUCCAGUUUGCAACCACA